CUUCGGUGGCCCAGGGAGGGCCUCAGUCUGGACUAGAGCCCCGGUGACCUUCGCGCUUGAGUCAGCCCCGCGCUCGCCCGCCACCCCACGUUUCUUUAUGCCCACGGCUUCUAGAUGUGACUGUCCUAGCUAAGACGCCUGAGAGGCUAAGGCUUCCUUGCGCCCUCACGUGGGCAGGGCUCGCUAGUUUGCCGACAUCCUGGGGCAGGAUCGAUGUUGUACAGACUAGCGUGGAAUCCUCCUGCCUCAGUCUCCAGAGCAUGUUACUGAAGGCAUACCCACCAAGCUUGGCUACAGGACAGACACCCUUCGGACUUCACCAGCUUUUCUCAGCAACGAGGGCUCGGGUUCAAUUCCCAUCACCCUUACGAUGGCUCAUGACCAGAGGAUCUGGCGCCCUCUUUUGAAUUCUGCAGCUGGAAAGAACCGGAAAGACUGUUUACUUCACAUUUAAAGAAGACACCAACAUGUUCGCCACCUCUGGAGAUACAAGGAGAUUCCGGUCAAGACACUGACAGGAGGGGCAAGAACACCAUCAGCUGCUGAGAAAAGGAAGAGAACAAGGGUUCAGGACCCAGCCUCCUCCGACAGAUGCACGGCUCCAGCUUCCUCAAGUCCCGCCAGGGUCCCAAGCUCCUGGAUCCGAGGGCGUUGCUGGGAGCGGAUGUUCUGCUGCGAGAUGGAGCCCAGGAAAGGCCGGUACUUCAGCAUGCGCCAUUCUGAGUGUUGCAGAGGGGGAGGUCGCUGAAGUGGGGUUCCCUCAG